GACGUAGGGCGCGAGCGUUGUCCGGAUUUAUUGGGCGUAAAGAGCUUGUAGGCGGCUCGUCGCGUCGGGUGUGAAAACUUGCGGCUUAACCGCAAGCCUGCACCCGAUACGGGCGGGCUAGAGUUCGGCAGGGGAGACUGGAAUUCCUGGUGUAGCGGUGAAAUGCGCAGAUAUCAGGAGGAACACCGGUGGCGAAGGCGGGUCUCUGGGCCGAUACUGACGCUGAGGAGCGAAAGCGUGGGGAGCGAACAGG
rnacentral:rRNA from 1 species